rnacentral:rRNA from 1 species
GAUGAACGCUGGCUACAGGCUUAACACAUGCAAGUCGAGGGGAAACGACGGGGAAGCUUGCUUCCCCGGGCGUCGACCGGCGCACGGGUGAGUAACGCGUAUCCAACCUGCCUCUGACUGAGGGAUAACCCGUCGAAAGUCGGCCUAAUACCUCAUGGCAUCGUCUGCGGGCAUCCAACGACGAUUAAAGAUUUCAUCGGUCAGGGAUGGGGAUGCGUCUGAUUAGCUUGUUGGCGGGGUAACGGCCCACCAAGGCUACGAUCAGUAGGGGUUCUGAGAGGAAGGUCCCCCACAUUGGAACUGAGACACGGUCCAAACUCCUACGGGAGGCAGCGGUGAGGAAUAUUGGUCAAUGGGCGGGAGCCUGAACCAGCCAAGUAGCGUGCAGGAUGACGGCCCUAUGGGUUGUAAACUGCUUUUAUGCGGGGAUAAAGUGAGGGACGUGUCCUUCAUUGCAGGUACCGCAUGAAUAAGGACCGGCUAAUUCCGUG